AACGAACGCUGGCGGCAGGCUUAACACAUGCAAGUCGAGCGAGACCUUCGGGUCUAGCGGCGGACGGGUGAGUAACGCGUGGGAACGUGCCCUUCUCUACGGAAUAGCCCCGGGAAACUGGGAGUAAUACCGUAUACGCCCUUUGGGGGAAAGAUUUAUUGGAGAAGGAUCGGCCCGCGUUGGAUUAGGUAGUUGGUGGGGUAAUGGCCCACCAAGCCGACGAUCCAUAGCUGGUUUGAGAGGAUGAUCAGCCACACUGGGACUGAGACACGGCCCAGACUCCUACGGGAGGCAGCAGUGGGGAAUCUUAGACAAUGGGGGCAACCCUGAUCUAGCCAUGCCGCGUGAGUGAUGAAGGCCUUAGGGUUGUAAAGCUCUUUCAGCUGGGAAGAUAAUGACGGUACCAGCAGAAGAAGCCCCGGCUAACUCCGUG
rnacentral:rRNA from 1 species